CCCGUCCUCGCAGAUCUCCCUCGUGUAGAUCGAGUUGCGCUUGCCGCCGCAAGGGUUGCACCCCGUGAAGUGCGUGACGAAGGGGCGCCGCCACCCCGACUGCCCGCCGCCGUCGGGGCCCGGGACGACGGCCCUCACGGCCGCGUUCCGCGCCGCCGCGUACCGCAGGUGCUCCCGCUCCGCGUGCCGCCGCCGGAGCGCGGGGUCGCCCUUCCGCUCCGCGGCCUCGUACCGCGCCGCGACGCCGUCGAGCUUGUCCACGAUCUCCGCGAAGUAGCCCUGGAAGUAGUAGUCGAUCCCGAGGUAGGUCUUCUUGCCCCAGCGCUCCCGGUUCGUGAGGAGGAGGUACGCGAGCGCCGACUGGUCGUCGGACUGGUCGUCGAACUUCUUGCUGAGCGUGUCCCUGAGCGUCUUCCCCCACCGGGCGUACUCCGGCGAGGCCGGGCCCAUGCUCGCCCACUCGUCCAUGAAGUCGAGCGACCACUGGCAGUUGCGGAUGAGGAACACGCCGGCGUUCAGCCCCACCCAGGACCUCUUCUCGUACACCUCCUCGGGCCAGCCGUACAGGACGAGGUUGUAGCGGCUGUACCUGGCGAGCGGGAGGGAGAAGUCCAUGUCGGUGAACACGGCGUCCGCGUCGACCCACCACACCCACUCCGCCUCCGGGUGCGCGAGCAUGGCCGCGCGCACGACGGGGAUCUUGGCCCAGUACGCCACCAUGGACGGCUCCAGCAGCGCGUUGUUGUACAGCAGCUCGAUCCCGUGGAGCCGGCAGUAGUCCACCUUGUUCUUGAGGAACCGCAGCAGCAGGUGGUCGCCCCCGGCCCCCUUGCACGGCUCCGGCUGCGACCCGGUGACCAUCACCACGCGCUCCGGGGCGUUCCGCCGGUCGCCGAGCCCCCGCGACCGCAGCCAUUGCGCGCGCUUGGCGUCCCACCCGGUGACGCGCCGCCCGAGGGCGUACGACAGCUCCGGGUCGUCGUAGAAUGUGCGCGGGCCGUCCGCCGGACCGGGGACAGGGAAGGCGACGAGGCCGGCGCGCCCCGGCGCGAGGACGGACGCCGGCCCCACGAACGCCAGCACGGCCGCGGCCACGCCCGUCGCGAACACGACCAAGUCGCGCGCGCGGCUUGGCCUCGCUGGCGCCACGCCCUUCUUGCUCGCCGCGGAAGCGGCGGCCUCCGACGCGGCCAUGGGACCCGAGGAGUGUGGCGUGCGUACGUGUGAGUGUGGACCGAG
rnacentral:misc_RNA from 1 species